AAAUAGACUAAAACCAACCCUAACUUCUUUUUCUUCCCUCUUUUCUUCCACCGGUGGAGCAAACCCUAACUCCUUUUUUUUAUAAUUUUGAUUAGGGAAAGAAGGAGUUAUGUGUACCUGUAAAAUCUUCAUCCAACUGUGUGCUCCAAAACUAGACUUCGAUAUGGUUUGUAUGGAAGAACCUACCCAUAUUAUGGUUUGUUUCUUUUUCUCUGAUCUGUUUUGAUUUUUGGUUUCUUUUUUUUAGUUAUUUCAAUUUUUUGGCGCAUGAAUUACUGAAUAACAGAGAUUAUAUUUUUCUUCGUGAUCCUGCAAAACAAUUAGAAUUUGGUGAUCACGAGCUAAUGAAUUACUGAUGAGCAUUGUAUUCGGUGAUCUGAUAUUUUUUGGUUGCGUGAAGAAUUGUUACUAACUAACUACCUCUUAAGAAAUCAAGGGAAGUUACUUUCAGAAAAAGAUGAAGAAAAAUCAAAUGAGCAGAAACAACUUCCAGUGAAACUUAUAUUACUCUUUACUUCUGGAUAAUCCUGCUACUAUAUAUAUAUUGAGUUACUUUUAUUUUCUGAUAGUUUUGUAUAGUGUUUAGUGCAUCAGUUCUUUCUUACAAUGUUAACGUUGUCAUCAUUACGUAAAAGAACAACCUUGGAAGGAUGACUAUCAGAGCAAUAUCCCAUUAGAGAGCUCGAAAUCUUAAACAGCAAAGAAAGUGAAUUUGGAAAAGACACCUCACCAAAUUAAGGAUGUCUAUUUGAAGUUCAAGGAAUAACAACUUUAUAGGCAUAAUUGCUGACAAGAGAUUGAAGAAGCAUGUGGACAAUCUGCUCGCUCGAAAAAGUUAGGACUUUUAUACUUGGAAACACUUGCGGGCAGGGAAAUUUCGGAAUUUUAGGUGAAGGGAAGAGACCUAAGUCUCAGUAUCAGCGAAUAUUCAGCCCAAAUAACUCUUCUUCACAGCCGAAAAAAACUCUUCUUCUCAAUUUCGAUGGUGAGAUUCAAUUGAUUUUUCUUUUGCUAACAAGAGGUUGUGAUUAUGGAUUCUUCUAAUGCAUCAAAUUCAAAUACCACAAACUCUACAUGUGGUUCAUUGCCCUCUUCUAUGACUACUCAAAUUAAAGAUCCGGCAUGGGAAUGGGGUUAGGGUUAGUGUUCUAUGAUGGUUGCAAAGACGAAGAAGCAAAACAAGAUGUGGAUUUCCAAGGACCCAUCAAGUACCAAUAUCAGUGUAUCACCAAGAAAUUAGCCGACUAAGUAGCUAGGAGCUAUGGUACUAACAAUACAUGCAGGUUCAGUCACAAGUUUGAGUUAGCUAUCUACAUUGUUUAGUUAGCUCAUCAAGGAAACCUAAUUGCGAUUGCCAAAAUCUGCAGCUAAUAUUGAUUAUUGAGAAAGUUUUUGAUUUGAUUUUUACUUUUAGAAUGGUACUUGAACUUGAUCAAAUUCUCUGAAACUUCAUUGAUUCAGUCACUGUAGGGAUACAAUCAGUUUUUCAUGUCGUAUGAUGUCUAGAAUUACAGCAUGGUUAUGGAGUCCAUGCAGCGUUGAGAUUAUUUCCGCAAUGAAUAUCGUCUUUGCUAACUUUGCAUACCGAUUGUCGGGCCUCCCUAAUUUGAUGUACCUAUAAAUUUUGACAACAAGGUUAUGCAUGAGCUGGAUCUGUUUUUUUUUUUUUUGAGAGAAACUGACAACAAAUGGAGGAUUAGUUGAGAGCUCAGUUCAUUGUCAAAUUUGAAAUGUCUCAAUGCAGAAUAACUACAUUGCCUCUCAUCUUAAGGAGAGAUGCUACUUUCUGAGCCUAAGAAGAAAUAGAAGCUGGCACCAAGGUGAGAUAGCCAGCAUUUAGUCAACUAUGUUCAAUCGACCAUGCAUCUUUGCAGCUUCAUCAUAGCCUUGCUGUUACAACAGCUGCGACGUAACAUAACUACAUUUAGUUAGUACGUCUUUGUUUAAUUUGUUUCCCUUGGGGCCUUUAUGAUUGCACAAAUACAUACUAACCCAAUUUAUUUAUGAUUUUCACGAGAAACUCCACACUGCCUUACCAAAUCAGCCUUUUCCAUGAACCUGGAAGACAAACUAUUUCCAUUGGAUGUGAGUAUACUGCUGUCAAUAAACAUUGAUUGAAGCUCAUGGCUCUACAUUUAUAUAAUUGUGAAUAUAUCUCAUAUAGGUGUGACACCCUUCCAGUACUUAAAAGGUUAUGGUGAAUUCAUGCGUUCUUCUUGAUGCAGUGAGUUAAUUGAGUAUUUAACUGAUUUUGUAUAAUUUUGUUUCUUUAACCAUUCUUAUAUUUUUUAAUCUAGCUCUACUGAAUAAUUUUACCUGCAACCAACUCCAAUCAUUAUUUUUACGUUGCCAUUUAUAUAUGUUUAUAUUUCUUGGUGGAACCGUGGAAAGAGCUUUGUUUUAAUAAACAAAAUAUGGUCAUGGAAGUCUCUUAGAUACCUAAAAGUGACGACCAAAAGCAUUACAACCUCAAAAGAGGAGAUGUUGGCUGGAAAAUGAGACUUUUUAAUGAAAAACAUGGGUAAUUUUAGUUUUUCCUUUCCACUUAACCUGACUUAAUUUGGUUUUCUUUCUUGUCUUCCCGAGAGAUACCUAAAUAACUUUUUUUUUGUGCGCGUGAAACAAGAUUACUUCCGCAGAUAACUUGGGUGCGCAGUGAAGCACUACACGAGACAGUUUCUGUUGAAAUUGAGGUUUCUUCCUUUGAAGUCAAGUCUGAGUAAGAUUGUUGCCUUAAAGAACUUGGCUUCACAAUGUAUCACAACACGAGAUACACCAGAUGAAGAACAUAGUGGUUUCUACUGAAAUUUAGGUUUCAUCCUUAAAAGACAAGGCUAAACAGCAUGACACAUGAAAGAUGUCUCGGACUAGGACAUAGAUUGUGUAGUUGAGCUUAGACUUCACGGCUUUCAUCAU